rnacentral:misc_RNA from 1 species
CGCUUUAAUCCUGCGUUUUCCCACAGAAUCCAGGUGUCACUGCCUCCAGCAAUUCCCAACUGGCCUCAACGAAACUCAGUGUCACUAUCCUGUGGCCGUGGUCUCACUUAAUCAGGCGGUCCUGCUCUUUCUUUCAUUCUACGCAUCAACUACGUAAUCUCUCCCUCUGUCUUCCUCUCGAAAGCGAAAGCCAAUUGCAGAAGCGAGAGCUCUCUCUCUCUCUCUCGAUCUCUCGAUGGAAGCACCGACACUGUAACUGAAAACCCUAAAACGAUGUGUUUCGAUUUCUCUUUAGCUCUUACUGAUCCAGCGAUUUUCCUUUCUUUCAUGGAUUCUUGAUCUUUAUCAGAAACGAGCGGCAAGAAUAGAGCUGUUAUAGAGAGAACCCGUUGGAUCAUAUGAAGUGCUUACUUGAUUGGACUGGUUCUCUAGCAUUUGAUUCUGAUGUACUUUAUUUGCAUGUUUUCACACCAAGCAAACUUUUUGGCCAAUUCACAGAGGUGAGUGGGGUGAGACCAAAUUUUUCUUCUGUUGAUUGGGUACUGCGUGGGAACUGUAAUCUGAGCAGAAGAGCACAAAGGUUGUUAUGGCUGAAGGAGGGGAGCAAAUCGAGCUUAAAUUCCGCAUCUAUGAUGGAACAGAUAUAGGGCAUGGUACUUAUGCAUCGUCAAUUACUAUUGGAACUCUCAAGCAAAGGCUAGUUACAGAGUGGCCUCAAGGUUACUCAUCUAGAUCUUCUAUGUUCUUUUCACUUGUUCCAAUUAAGCAUAGUGAUUGUUACACAUUCCAAUUGCUUUUUAACUGUAUGAAAUAUUGGGCUUGUGUAUUAUUUUUGCCGUGUUUUCAUCCACCAGCCCUAAAAAAAAUUUUGGGAUGGAGGUUGGGGUAUCUCCUUGAUUUUCAGACUUCUCUUAUAGAAGUUUCUUUUCGAAAAUAGUUGUUUACGGCUAUAUUUUCUAUUGAACUUGAUCUCAAUCAUAAUUAGCAUGUAAUGUGACACUUCCAGUUUGGGGCUUUGUUCUUAUUUUUCCAGGCUCACAUUCUAUAUUGCUAAGGACAUUUGGUCAAUCUGUUAGUGGUUGAUUUGUGAGAGAGAGUGGCCAAUUAUUUGAUUGCAUUGGUAGCAAAUUUUAUUAGUACUAUGCUAUUGAUUGAUGUUGCAGUAUGCUUCUAGUCAGAAAACUAGCUGCUUUAUGUUGCAAAUCAAAUUUUGCCUUUCAUGUAUUCACUUUAUAUUUUAUUCCUUGUUUGUGUCUCUAAUGGUGCCUUUGGAUUUACAGAUAAAACAGUAUUACCCAAGUCAGUUAAUGAUUUGAAACUUAUACAUGCUGGUAAAAUAUUGGAGAAUAAUAGGACACUUGCUGACUCCAGAAUAACCUAUGGUGACCUUCCUGGUGGGGUUAUCACCAUGCAUGUAGUGGUGCAGCCUCCUGCAGCUAAGAAGAAGAUGGACAAAAACCCAGAGGAGAUGAAAAAGCAGAAUUCAUGCUCAUGUGUUAUCCUUUGACAUUGGAAACAUGCUUUUUGGCUACAAAUGCCGACAGCAUCACCCAUUGAAAAUUUUUUGUUUAAUUAGUGAUAUUAGUGCAGUUUCACAUUUCAUAUGGCAUUCAUAUGUGUGGAUUGCAUUUGCAAUUUCUAAUUGCUUUUGUUGUUUUUCCUGUUGUAAUCAGUCUCUUAAAAGCAAUAUUAGACUAUCAGCUCAUUUUCUUUACCCGGGAGUAGUAUUUUGCUGAGCACAGUGAUAGAGGCUUAUGUUUAUUUGAGAUAUAGACAGAGAGAGAUAGUAUGAACUAGAUGAACUUUAGCAUUUGGCAUUAAUUAGUUGUUUUUUUAUUUGUCAAAUGAAAGGCAUUCUGGAACUGCAUGUAUAUUUGAAAGUGCGGGAGAAUAAUGAUAAGUGUUUAGGAGGAUUUGUAGUUUAAUCUCUACAUAUUUAUAUCUCUAUCAGUAAUUACAGCUCUCAUAAAUUUCACUAAUUUAGUGUGUUGUAACACUAUCGUCUUAAAUUUAAUGUGUCAUAUUAGCAUCUUGAAAUAGGAGAUGUUAUAAGAGUUCACCUUUUUGUGAAAGAAGAAGCACUAUUUUUAUGUACAUCAGAAGUAUAAUAUUCUUCUCCAAAAUAGUUUAGUAAUAUCAGUGGAGAAAUAAUUUAGAACCUGUUUGGUUUAACUAUUGGAUGUAGUUAAUAGCCGAUAGCUAUUACUAUUAAGUGAUAGCUUAUAACGGAUAAUUGAUGAUAGCUGAUUUAUGUUAAGUGUUUGGCAAAUUAAGUUUAAUCAUUGUUGUUAAUAUGUAAAAUGAUUAAUAAGAGUAUAUAUUAUAUAAUUUAUUUUAUUAUUGAAAUAAAUAUAAAAUU